UACGAAGGGGGCUAGCGUUGCUCGGAAUCACUGGGCGUAAAGCGCACGUAGGCGGAUUGUUAAGUCAGGGGUGAAAUCCUGGAGCUCAACUCCAGAACUGCCUUUGAUACUGAGGAUCUUGAGUUCGGGAGAGGUGAGUGGAACUGCGAGUGUAGAGGUGAAAUUCGUAGAUAUUCGCAAGAACACCAGUGGCGAAGGCGGCUCACUGGCCCGAUACUGACGCUGAGGCACGAAAGCGUGGGGAGCAAACAGGGAUUAAGAAAC
rnacentral:rRNA from 1 species